rnacentral:lncRNA from 1 species
UGUAAUCUCCGAAACGACCCACUCGUAUUCGUCAACACUUCCUUGAUCAUGUCGGGGUCGGAUACUGCCAGCCUGGCCCUGGACCCGAACCAGUAGAGGAAAUUCUUCCCGUACAUGCGGGACCACGUGUGGUAAAAUGGGGACGCGAGGUGAAGAUUGUCGUGGUCAAAAGGGCCCCGCUUUGAGAGAGCUUCCGCGAACAGACGGCGGAUCUCGGCGGAGUUCCCGAAGAUCGGACGGUAGGCGGGCCCCCGUAUGCCUUGCUGCCGGAAGUGAUGUUGCGUCCUCAGCGGGACCCAUAUCGUGGAGUUUACAAAUUUGGAGAGGAAGAAAAGUAGAGGAAGGAAAAGAACAGCGAGGAGGAGAAGGAAAUGCAUAAUCUCAGUGUAUCAUUUUUUUUUUUGAAAGAAUCUGAGUGUAUCAUUAGCAUAAAGAGAGAGUGAGAGAAGACGAAGACUUAUUGGUUCCUAAUACAUCAUGCAUGACGUACACCAACGUAAUCCUUUUUAACAAAAGGGUGUGACAUCCACACCCUAUUUUACUUCUCACAUAUUUUUUUAAUUUUCGAUCUUCGGAUCGGAUGAAUUUCAGAAGAUCAACGGACAUAAAUUAUCAAGUGAUAUGUGAAAAGUAAAAUAUGGUGUGUAGAUAGCACACCCCUUGAACAAAUUGUAAAACUAGCUUUGAGUUUUAACAAUAAGAACAAAAUAAAAUGUAAAGUGAAUAGUAUCAAGAUUGACUUUUUAGUGUAAAAAUGUAGUUUUUCAUUAAAUUGAACAAUAUCAGGAGUUUUUCGUUAAAGUUUCUAAAUAGGAUUUUUGAAGUGCUAAUAACAAUUCCAUUUAAUAAAAUCACUAAUGUUUUGGAAUUUAGAGUUAUGACUAUUUUAUUAUCGGAUAGUACUGUUUACAUAAUUAUUUUUUAUUUUUAACACACUUUUUUAAUUUUCAAUCAUCAACUUAAAUAAACUGAAAAAAAAAUUAAUAUAGCUUGCCCCCUUAUGCGUAUGAGAAGUAAAAAUAAAUCGGUGUAUGUACUACAUACUGCAUUCAUGGCAGUGUUGAAUAUCACAAAGAAACUUAUCCAAAAAAUGGGGCAAUUCAGUUAGUUACGAGCAUCCAUUCCUGCAUGCGAUCCUAAGUUCGACUCACUCUAAACCUCAACUGCCGCUUGAAAAAACAACUUGUUAGUUGGUAAUUCAAAAAAAAAAAAAAUUGAAAGAGGUCCAAUUUUAUAGCUCAUAUUUUGAAAUAGGUCGAAUUUUUAGUGAUUUUUUAUUUUUGAAAUAUGUCCAAUUUUUAGUCCAAUUGGACCUAUAUCAAAAGACCCCUAAAAAAAUUAGAUCGAUGCUAAGUAGUAGGGCUAGAAAUUUUUUUCCAGAAAUCCUAAACCAAAUAAAAAAAAAUUCGAUCCUAUACCGAAAUUUUUUCAAAUUUAUUAUAUUGAACCGAACCGAAAAAACAUGUAUAUUUAUUUUUGUUACAUGCAUGUUAAAUGUUGAAUUUAAGUAGUUUGAUGGUAGAUUAUAUUAGAAACAGAAGUAUGAAAUUAAGUAGGUUGAAACUUUGGAACAUCAAUUUGACUUGGUAUGAAUGAAUGAAUAUUUCAAUUGGUAUAGAAUUUCAAAUUAAUAUGAGAUAAAAAACACAAAUUUCAAUUGAUAUGAAAUUUGGAACAAAAUUUUAGGCCGAAAGCCUAAAUUUUGGCCCACAUUCAAAAAAUCUCAAAUUUUAUCCCAAAAGUCCAAAAGCCAAAAUCUAAUUCUGAUCAAUCCCGAAAUACUAAAAGUAUUUCAGGAAUCUUGAAAAUUGGGAAUACCAAAAUUUCGGUUUGGGAUUAGUCUUCAAAUUCCCGUCUCAAAAAUUUUCGGUUUGAGAUCCCAUACCGAACCACCUCUGCUAAGUAGUGUCACGGAUCGUUAAAAUACAUUACGAUGUAGAUCUCACAAAAAUGUGUCAAAACUUGUGUAAAAAAAUGAUGUCAUGAAUUUGCCUCCAAUAGAAUUAGAUAGAUAAAGAAUAGUAAUUUAUUACUCAUUUCUUAUAUCUUCUAUGCUUGACUUGCGCAGUUUCUUUUUAUUUCAAGUAAUUAGUGCGGAAAGAAAAUUCGAACUUAGUGUAAGAGAACGAUCAAAGUCACAAGUGAAAUUCAACUUACAGUCUUAACGUCACCGAAAAUAAGGGGAAAUUUCGUAGAAAAUACAAUCACAUAUGGUUACAAUAUGACUUUAGGAAUCUGUUUUCUAAAGCUUCAUUGUACAAUACCUAAUUAGAAUCUUCAAUUUGAAAUCCUGCUAAAGAGGAUUUGAGCGCCAUACCGUGGCUGCAAGGUUACGAACAACGUUGGGGCAUGAACAUAUGUUGGAGACACCGUGAAAGAAUAGCGCCGGAUGACGGUUGCUAACACAAGUUUCGCUUCAACAAGAGCCAAGUUUUGGCCUGCACAGAUUCUAGGACCCAGACCAAAUGGAAAGUACGAGGCUAAAUGGCUUCGAGGCUCGGAAAACCUCAGCGGGUUGAACUCGUUGGCAUCUUCUCCCCAUAUCUCAGUGUCGUGAUGGACCGCGGCCAAAGCCAAAUAAAGCUGUGUGUCUGCAGGAAUGUCCAGGCUCCCAAGCUUAACCUUCUUUGUUGCUUGCCUCAAAAUCACAACCGCCGGAGGAUACAGCCUAAGUGUUUCGUUAACGAUCAUGCUAACCUGUUCAAAACGGGAUAGAAAAUAAACAUGCAUGGGGAUGCAGCAAACUAAUUGUGCAAUUUAAGUACAAAAAUUAACUUUACAGAACUUACAAUUUUGAGGUCAUUCAAAUUAUCUGCAACCGGAAGCUUAUUGUCCCCCGACACGCGAAUUAUUUCUUCCCUAGCUUUGUCUUGCCAUUCCACAUGCUUUGCCAAGAGCAGAAGUGCCCAGCUCAGAAGAUUAGCAGUCGUUUCCUUUCCUGCAAAGUAGAAGGUCUUGCACUCAUCUACAACUGCCUCCAUCUCUAAUUUCUCCUCUUGUCCGUCCUGAUUCUUGUAAGGAGACAUCAACAGGCUAAGCAGAUUUGUCGAAUCUUCACUUCUUUUGCAGUUAUUUGCGAUCAACAUCCGUAUUGAUUCGUGAGUUUCCUUGUCGAGUCUCCACCUUUCUCGGUUAUUCUUGGUAGGCAAAAACCUGCAUUCAAAGGAAUUCAAUGAGUUUGGUAUCAGUCACAUUUCGCCCUUGAAAUUUGGAAGGAAAGUCACCUGAAUCCCGGAAUGUAGAUGCUCCUGACUGCCUUGGAGAACAGAUGCAUUUGUUGUUCUUGUAAGUCGAAAACACGCUUUCCCUCCUCAAAACUGGUUCCGAAAGCUGACCUUGAUAUCACGUCCGCUGAGAGCUCAUGAAGUUCUUUGUGCACAUCGAUUUCAAACUCAUCCCUCCCUCCUCUUACAUUCUCCCACUUGUCCAACAUCUUCAUGGUACUCCCCACAAUAUCUGGCACCCAACCCUGCAUCCCAGAAAGAACCCAACAACAACAUCAAAUAAAUCGUUUCCCAAAGCAUUUGAUUGAAAAAACUUGAAAGUGCUUUUAAAAGCACUUGCCAAAGUACCUCAAGAAUCACUUAUGAGCAAAAAAGCUUACGCUUAAUCUUGCAUAUUAUGAUAUAAAGGCUAAAGUAUCAUUAAGUUUCUUAUCCUAUAUCAUUAAGUUUAGUACAAAAUUCAGUUGUCCCGAUUUAACUCAUACAGCUACCAAUUAUUUCGAAACAUAAAACAUCUAAUUUACCCUCGCAUAUCUAAUUGUUUUAAAAAUACUAAAUUGUAAAAGUUAGUAAACCAAACUCGUUUGGAUUUAUUUUUAAAAUGAUUGAAAACGAUUUUGGUGAAAAUAUUUUUGAAACAAAUCCUUAGUAAAAAUGCAAGUAAAUUCUGGAAAAGCAUUUUAAGUGCUUUUGAAACUAAAAAACAUUUUCUUUAAAAACGCAUUCAGUCAUUUUAAAAGUACAUCCAAACGAAACUACAAAGACGGAACAAAACUACGACAACUAAAAAUAUGAUUGGGCCGAAUUUAUAAUAUGCCUAAAAUGAAAAGCCCAAUUUACGAAUCUCCGUUCAAUUAAGUGGGUUCAUAGAGUAAUUACCUUGACCCGGUCCAUUUUAAAGGCCUGGUUGACGAUCCUUCUACGACAAGCCCAUUCCUCUCCCUCAAGCCCAAUAAUUCCCUCUCCAAACAAAGUUUUGGUCAACGGGUUAAACGGUAAUCUCCGAAACGACCCACUCGUAUUCGUCAACACUUCCUUGAUCAUGUCGGGGUCGGAUACUGCCAGCCUGGCCCUGGACCCGAACCAGUAGAGGAAAUUCUUCCCGUACAUGCGGGACCACCUGUGGUAAAAUGGGGACGCGAGGUGAAGAUUGUCGUGGUCAAAAGGGCCCCGCUUUGAGAGAGCUUCCGCGAACAGACGGCGGAUCUCGGCGGAGUUCCCGAAGAUCGGACGGUAGGCGGGCCCCCGUAUGCCUUGCUUCCGGAAGUGAUGUUGCGUCCUCAGCGGGACCCAUAUCGUGG